rnacentral:rRNA from 1 species
UACGUAGGGUGCAAGCGUUAAUCGGAAUUACUGGGCGUAAAGCGUGCGCAGGCGGUUAUGUAAGACAGUUGUGAAAGCCCCGGGCUCAACCUGGGAAUGGCAAUGGAUACUGGCAGGCUAGAGUGCGGUAGAGGGUAGUGGAAUUCCCGGUGUAGCGGUGAAAUGCGUAGAGAUCGGGAGGAACACCAGUGGCGAAGGCGGCUACCUGGACCAGCACUGACACUGAGGCACGAAAGCGUGGGGAGCAAACAGG